CUACGGGUCGCUGCAGUGGGGAAUAUUGCACAAUGGGCGCAAGCCUGAUGCAGCCGUACCGCGUGUAUGAAGAAGGCCUUCGGGUUGUAAAGUACUUUCAGCGGGGAGGAAGGGAGUAAAGUUAAUACCUUUGCUCAUUGACGUUACCCGCAGAAGAAGCACCGGCUAACUCCGUGCCAGCAGCCGCGGUAAUACGGAGGGUGCAAGCGUUAAUCGGAAUUACUGGGCGUAAAGCGCACGCAGGCGGUUUGUUAAGUCAGAUGUGAAAUCCCCGGGCUCAACCUGGGAACUGCAUCUGAUACUGGCAAGCUUGAGUCUCGUAGAGGGGGGUAGAAUUCCAGGUGUAGCGGUGAAAUGUGUAGAGAUCUGGAGGAAUACCGGUGGCGAAGGCGGCCCCCUGGACGAAGACUGACGCUCAGGUGCGAAAGCGUGGGGAGCAAACAGGAUUAGAUACCCCUGUAGUC
rnacentral:rRNA from 1 species